CUCAGGUUGACUGUGUGAAUGUGUGUGUUGCUGACUGGUAGGGAUCAUACAUCUAUAGCCUGUGGUGGACUGGAGGGUCGACCCCCCUUUGUCUUCCCAGGUAAUUACCCCCCUUUGUCUUCCCAGGUAAUUACCCCCCUUUAUCUUCCCAGGUAAUUACCCCCCUUUAUCUUCCCAGGUAAUUACCCCCCUUUAUCUUCCCAGGUAAUUACCCCCCUUUGUCUUCCCAGGUAAUUACCCCCCUUUAUCUUCCCAGGUAAUUACCCCCCUUUAUCUUCCCAGGUAAUUACCCCCCUUUAUCUUCCCAGGUAAUUACCCCCCUUUAUCUUCCCAGGUAAUUACCCCCCUUUAUCUUCCCAGGUAAUUACCCCCCUUUAUCUUCCCAGGUAAUUACCCCCCUUUAUCUUCCCGGGUAAUUACCCCCCUUUAUCUUCCCGGGUAAUUACCCCCCUUUAUCUUCCCAGGUAAUUACCCCCCUUUAUCUUCCCAGGUAAUUACCCCCCUUUAUCUUCCCAGGUAAUUACCCCCCUUUAUCUUCCCAGGUAAUUACCCCCCUUUAUCUUCCCAGGUAAUUACCCC